rnacentral:tRNA from 1 species
CUUAAAUAGCUUAUAUAGAGCUUAAUAUUGAAGAUAUUAAGGAGACAGAAAUGUCUUUGAGUAU